AACGAUAACAAUUGUAGAGAGAGCACAAUUCACAGUUUUCUUUCAAACAUUUUGCGGAGAUAAUGCGAAAGAACAAAUAUUAAUAAGUUAGUUGUUGAUUUGCCGCCGAACUGUUAGCGUGUCGGUAUGUAACGCGUGGAAGUGAGUGAGGAUUCAAAAAAUUACCAACUGAAUAUAUGUUUUGGCAAUACAAAUAAAAAAUUGUAAGCGAAAUAUUGGAAACAAUGAAAUUAAUAAAUAAUCCGAAAAAUAUUGAGUUCAUGCGUGUUUGCAUUUAAUUUAUACGCGUUUGCUGUUGAAUGCAUUUAAUAGUGGUACGCAUGCAAAAAUACUGUAAUAUCAGCAAACAGCAGCAACAAUAACAACAACAAGGGUGACUUUACUUAAGACAAACCACGAAAAUUGCUGCACUAAUUUUCACCUGUGUAUUGUGUUCUUGUUGUUUUUGUUGUAGUUUGCUACGUUUGGUUGCUUUUUGGCUAUUUCGAUGUGUGAGUGUCGGCGCCUAUAUGUGUGAGUAGCGGCAUCUAUGCGCGCGCGCGUGUGUGAGUGUGGUAUGCGUGAGUUGUUAUAAAUAGGCGAAAGAGAGAGAGAGGGAAGCAGAGAGAGAAAGAUCACUUCUUGCAAGCAAAGAAAGUGCAAAAAGAAGAAACAACUCAGCGAAAUACACAAAAUAUGUUUAUUUUUAUAGGCCAACAAAUAAAUUAGAACGCCGACAGCAUGCGAAAGCGUAAAUGUGUCAGCCAAAUCCUAUUGGAAGCCGACUGCUGCAUCCGUUUUUGAGCGAAAGUUUUUUAUGGCUGUCUCGCCGGAGUGUGCAAAAAAAAAAAAAAAAAGAAAUGAAGAAGAAAAAUAAAUGUGAGCAGCCUGCCAGCUGUUGAUAGGCAAACUGCAUAGAGCAGAGAAGAAAUA